rnacentral:lncRNA from 1 species
UCCAACGAACGUUUUAACCACUUUCCCCUCCACUUCCUUCCUUUCCCGGGGCGCUGAGCUCCGAGGCCGGCCACCGUGCAGGAAAGCAUUACCGCGGAAGCUGGGAGCUGUAGCUUCGCCAAAAGGCCCCGCUUUUGCCCUGGGGCAAACUUGUUAAGAUUGGGAGCUCCUCCGCCAGGGUCAUCUGUCCAAGGGCGCUGUGAAAGCCUCCUGGGAUGUUCAUCUAGCCACGGUCUAAUUAAUUUUCAAACGGACAAAACAGCUUCUUGGGCCGCGUAACAAGCAUUUUCAUUCAUCUGCGCGAGGCUGGAUUUGGCUCCGAGCAGGGUCACGAGGAACCCUAAUGGCUGCUUCCCUCCUUUGUGUGUCCCCAGGAGAGCUUGUGUUGAUGUCAACAAAGCAGGAUCUGUGCUUCAGGCGAUUGGAGUGGGUUCGGCUUCCAGAGAGCCAAGUUCUUUGACUUCGCUGAGAAGGAAAGGGGGGAUUUGUGCCAGUUGGGAAAUAGACUUUUUCUUUCCCCUGAGAGGGAGUGCCCAGACCUCGGAAACUGCCCCUCCUGGCCACAAGCCCCUCAGGAAGGGUCAGCAGGGUGGCCUGACCCUAGGAGCACAACCCACGGAACAUGACACGUUCCUUGCAGUGCUGCCGCAGGGCAGUCUGGCCCUGGCAUUUGUUACAAGAAGUCCCCAAGCUGCUGGCUGGUGCCCUUGCAGCCAACAAAGGACCACGGAAUGCACCUGUGUCCUGCCUUCCAGGAGCCCCUCCUUGGUGGCAGCCUUACCAGCAGAGGCUGUCUCGCCCCUUGUUUUGCCCUGUAAGACGGGCUCUCCUCUGCACUGAGUAAAGGAAGAGGGAGAAGAACGUCCAUGCCUAAGUGCGCUUGAAGACCCAGUCUUUGUUGGUGUGUCUUGCACGUGGCUUUGUCUCUGAUGUGUCCACAGCUAGAGCAGCACCUGUCUGACCCUGCUACACACAUCGGCGGACUGCCUACGCCGUGCCAAGCUCUCCCCAGCCCCUGCCAGGCAGUGACAUCAUUUGCCCUCUGUUCAGGUACAGACGGGGAAUCCAGAGAGUCCAUAAAUAGUAGUCAUUUACCCUUAACAAUGCUUCCUGAGAUAAUAGACCUGCUUUUCACAGUUUGGAGAGAAACGGUUCCUCAUUUGUAAUGUCACCAAGACCAGAUCCUUGGGCAGGACGUCAGAGAUGGCUGAGCAGAUGCCGUGCGGUUCCUCUCCCAGCUCCAGAGCCUCUGGGAUCAGCGAGGCAUCGGGGUUUCCAAGACAAGAGCACAUUAACGGACAUUGUUGUACAGGAGGGUUUUCUCUGCCUGGCGAAAUCCGUGCCUCUUUUUUAAGUUUGCAGAAUUUGAAACACGUGCAUACAACAGGAUGGUGCAGUGAGGUGCGCUGACGGUAUUGCUUCUCCCUCCCAUUGCGUAUCUUUGUUCAGGAGUCAACGAAAAGGGAUAUUCUCAAAACUCUAGCACAAACAAAGGCAGCACUCAGUGCCCAAUAUAAACAUAUUUCUGUUUAGCAAAGAGCAGGAGUAUCGAGGCCCUCCGCUUUUCUCUUCUCACACAGCAGCAUGUUCUGUGCUGACGGUAUGAGUUAACAAAUUCGAGUCUGUUUAUUUUGUUGGAAAUUCCACUUCAUGAAUCACCGCGUUCCACAGAACAGCAGAAGGACAGCAUGGCCAUUGUUUGACUCACAGUGGUCCCAGCCCCAGGAGCCCGUCCCGACGUCCGCUUGCCGUCAGCGGGCCCUGUCUGCUUUCAUCUUUCCAAGGCCUCCCUUCUAAUAGCAUUCAAAUUAUUUAGACACUCAACCAUGUUUUUGCCUCCGGUGCAGACACUUCUAAAGAGCGCGAGCCCCAGUGUGACCAAAUAACCCUCCACUAUUUAUCUUCUCACAAGUCAUUAUUCCGGAGGCUCUGAGGAGCGGCUCCCAGCAUGUGCACCGCAGGCCGCCAGAGCUCCUCCUGCAGAAACCAGCCGGCCCAUGGGCCUGCUCUGCUCCCGUCUCUCUGGCAGGUACACAAUGCCACGGUUCAGGCAGAGGGGAGGCGGGGCAGCGUGGUUUAGCCAUGAUUCCCCGAGUUCCUAGAGUAAGGAGCAUGUGGGCCCCCAAAUCAAUUGUGAUUAUUAAUGAUCUCCAUCCCUUUCAGUAAUUGCAAGGAAACUGUAGGCACUCGGAAAGAAAUUAAAAUGUGAACAGUCACUCUCCAGUUUCAUCUUCUGCUCAGAAUUACCUUUUUUUUUUUUUUUUUUUAAAUCCCCUCUGCCUCUGUUAAUGAUGUGCCUCCUGGUGGUGAGUGAUUGUGUGAACCACCAGGGACACAGAAAAUGAAGACACAGGAUUCUUGCCCCCGUGGAACGAGGGUCUGACGGGAGACGUGGCGGUUGAGAUGUUUCCAGCAUUC